rnacentral:rRNA from 1 species
CCUACGGGUGGCUGCAGUGGGGGAUAUUGCACAAUGGGGGGAACCCUGAUGCAGCGACGCCGCGUGGGUGAAGAAGCGCCUCGGCGCGUAAAGCCCUGUCAGCAGGGAAGAAAAUGACGGUACCUGAAGAAGAAGCCCCGGCUAACGACGUGCCAGCAGCCGCGGUAAUACGGAGGGGGCAAGCGUUAUCCGGAUUUCCUGGGUGGAAAGGGGGCGCAGACGGCGAUGCAAGCCAGGAGUGAAAGCCCGGGGCCCAACCCCGGGACUGCUCUUGGAACUGCGUGGCUAGAGUGCAGGAGGGGCAGGCGGCAUUCCUGGUGUAGCGGUGACAUGCGUCGAUAUCAGGAGGAACCCCGGUGGCGAAGGCGGCCUGCUGGACUGCAACUGACGUUGCGGCCCGAACGCGUGGGGAGCAAACCGGAUUAGAUACCCCUGUAGUC